UGGGAAUUAGGAGAAGACCAACCGCGAUUUGAUUUGUGUCACGCCAACCGAAAACAGCUAUUUGUGUCUGACCUUCCAUAGCCACAGGAAAGAUUGAGAAAUGGUUUGAUCAAGUGCAUGGUGAAUGAGAUCAGUAGGUCAGGAUUCCUACGCAUAUGGAGUCAAGGAGAGGUAAGGCAAACAAAUGUUUGGCAGUUGGGUGGUGAAACGACUACGCAUGACCAAUUGAGUACCUGCACGACCCUGAUAUUGAUCAGGAUAAGGUUUACAACACCCAGAG
rnacentral:misc_RNA from 1 species